UACGGGAGGGGUCAAGCGUUGCUCGGAAUUAUUGGGGCGUAAAGGGGUAGGUAGGUGGUCUCAUUUGUCUGGGGGUGAAAGCCUCGAGCUUAACUCGAGAAGUGCCCCAGAAACGGUGAGACUUGAGUCUUGGAGAGGCUAGCGGAAUUCCCGGUGAUGAGCGGUGAAAUGCGUAGAGAGUCGGGAGGAACACCAGUGGCGAAGGCGAG
rnacentral:rRNA from 1 species